UUCGUCUCUCCCUCUCAGAACAAAAUGCCGACCGGAAGUGCAGCUGCAGGAAUGACUCCCUCCGCCGGCGCCAAACACUAACAACCACCCCCUCUUCCCCACUCCACUUCCGCCACCGCCGCGCCGCCGCCGCCACUUCGGUUCGCGUCUUCAGCUGCGCUGCACCGCACUGCCCGCUCCGCUCCGCUCCGCACCGCACCCGGGGCCGGGCGGCGGCCGGCAGCAAGGCGGCGGCGGCUCUCCUCUGCGCCUUUCUCCUCAGGGCGGCUGUGGAUGUUGCCUUUUAGUGUCGAUCCUGCGGAGCGGCGUUUUCGCUGCGGCACGGGCGGGCCGGGUCUUCCCGGUCUUUAUUUUCCUGGAGGCCGACCGGAGCGGGGCCCGAGUUCGGUGGUGGUAGCGUGCGUGGGGGGCGCUCAGGCCCGGACCGUCUCGCAGCCCGCGCACGCCGCCCCAACUGUUCGUCUUUAGCUCUCGGGAGCCGAGCUCGGGGCGGCCACGUAGAGGACGCCCGUGAUCCGACGGCGACCGAGCAUUUUUUAAAUGGUGUCCCUGCAGCCGGGUGGAUGGAUGUAUCGUAUUGUACACCUUUCUCUCCUUUUGAGAGGCCAGACUUUACGCCAGUCUCUGCAUUAUUUCUGAGGAGUGAGAACGCAACGCGUGGAGGAGACGAAGAUUCUCAGCUGGAUUGAAAUGGAACCAUGUUUGUGAUGCAUAUAUUUCUGGAAAUAUGUGGUCUUUUCUGGUCUUGCAUUUUGUUGCCUGUGGUUUUGGCUCUUGCCUAGCAGUCGGGAGAAGGGCCUAUAGGCGACGCUGUUCGAGCGAGGAGCCAGUCCGCGCCCCCCUCUAGUUGUGGGUGGAGCCGAGCACGCGGGGAGAGCCGGCGGAGUGCGGGCCGCGGGGGGGCCUGGGGCCAGACGAUUUCAGACUUCGUUUUCCUUUACGUUCGAAACAGUGAGGUACUGGCCAAGGCUGGAGUACAAAUGUGAUUGUGUGUACAGUUCCAAGCCUCCUGUAGUCUCUGACUGAAACACGUGAAAUAACUUUACCGUACAGGUCACUAUUAAGUUUACUUCUGUACAUUAAAAGGGGGCUAUUCUUCAGGUAAAAAAUGCAUAGGUGGUGAAACUUAGGUGGAUCAGAACAAAGCAAAGUUUAUUAACCAUUAAGCAGAAGCAAUUCAAGUAGAAAUAUAAAAGUGGAAAUGUCUUGGUAUUAUAACCUAAGAUGGAAAACCAAAGAAAAUAGUACCUAGGGCCAUGAUGAAUUACUCACUAGAUGUAACAGUAAACCAUUUCUUAAUAAUUCCAUUUUUAUUGAAAGCUGAAAUUAGUCUCUAAUAGGCACAUUAUAAAAUGAUCAAGUUGGCAGAAAUAGAUUGAUCUUACAUUAAAAUUGUAUGUACUUUGAUAAUCUAAAAAACAAAGGAUAAAUUUUAAUAAAGAAUGAUUACAGUGAAUUAAUAUGAGGUGAUUUUUCACUUUAAAAAUAAAAAAUAGAAUUGUUUCCAUUACCCUUUAUAAACAAAACAAAAAGUAAUACCUUGAUUUGUGACAUGUUUGGAGGAAUAUAGUAGCUAAAUGACAGUUGUACUGUCAGCUUAUUUAAUAUAUUCUAAGUACCUCAAAAUCUCCGAUAGAAUGAUUAUUCGAAGUAAAAUUGUAAGAGCUGGGUGUUAGCUAACUGUAUUAAAAUUAAAAAAUUUAAAGGCUCAAACAAUUUUAGUUUAAUAAACUAAAUAAUGGUAGUCUAGCCGCUUAUUCAUUGUAAGGUUUGUGGAAACAUACUGUCCAAAGCAUAGAAGGACAAUGGAUUCAGGGAGAUUUUAGCUAUAGGUAAUAUUUACUUAUGUGUUUGUUCAUUCUAAAAAUAUACUUCUUGAACACAUACUAUCUCCACAGGACAUGGAGCAUGUAUUCAUUCUUACAUCUUGUUGAAAGAUUUAAUUUCAUUAAUAUUAUGUGAAUAGUCAUAGAAAUUCAAUAUGCAGCCCAUUGAAUCCAAGGAGGUGGCACUUAGAAGCAAAUCAUUUAAUAUUGAGUACUAGAAGGUAGACUGUAAACUUCUGUAAGUUAGUUCUUUUAUAAUACUACAUUAUACUGACAUUAUAUAUUGUCAUCUGGUGUCAAAUCAGUUAAUCACAGCAAUAAUAUCCAGUAAGUAAAAUUCAUCUAAUAGCAGCUGUAGAGACAUUUUAGUGCCAAAAAAGAAUUCAACCAGUAUUACUACGAAUUAUGUGCUUCUUUUACACAUAAGUUGCUAUAAAUAUGGACUAUUAGAAUUGCAUAAACUGACUUCCCUGGUGGAGCAGUGGUUAAGAAUCCAACUGCCAAUGCAGGGGAUACGGGUUCUAUCCCUGGUCUGGGAAGAUCACACAUGCUCCGGAGCAACUAAGCCCGUGAGCCACAACUAGUGAAGCCCGUGCUCCACAACAAGAGAAGCCACUGCAAUGAGAAGCCUGAGCACUGCAAUGAAGAGUAGCCCCCACUCGCCACAACUAGAGAAAGCCUGCGCGCAGCAAUGAAGACCCAACACAGCCAAAAAUAAAUUAAUUAAUUUUUAAAAAGUGCAUAAACAGCCUGACCUUUUAAUUAUAUUUUAAAUUUUGUUAGUGUUUUCACCCAUGGAAAAUGCUAUACUGAUCUUUUAAAAAUUUCAUUAAUAAAGUGGCAAUAGCUUU